UCCGAUGUAGCUCAGCCGGUAGAGCAAGUGGCUGUUAACCACUGGGCCGGGGGUUCGAGUCCCUCCAUCGGAGCCA
rnacentral:tRNA from 1 species